rnacentral:rRNA from 1 species
UAAAAAUGUAAAUUUUCCAAAUUAUUAUUAGUUAUGUUCUUUAAAAUUAAAGAUUUUGGCGGUAUUUUAGUCUUUUCAGAGGAACCUGUUCUUUAAUCGAUAUUCCACGAUUAAUUUAACUUAAAUUAUUAGUUUGUAUAUCGUCGUAGUUGAAUAUUUUAAAAGAAUUUAAAUAUUCAUGAUUUUUUAUAUAAAAAUAAAUCAGAUCAAGGUGCAGUUUAUAUUUAAGGAGAAAUGGGUUACACUAAAUUUAUUUUUUGGUUUAAUUAAUUAAAAUUGAUUAAUAAAGUGGAUUUGAAAGUAAUUAAUUUUAUUAAAAUUAAUGAUU